UAUCUGAAUCACUACCGAACAUUAUGCAAUCAUGUGAACAUUCCCACCUCUGAUCAUUUGAUGGAGGGAAGGUAAUUGAUAAAGCAACUUCUGCUUUGGACAUGAAGUUGUCUGGAACUGAAAUGACUUACUUCCAACAACCACAACCAUCCUUCAUGCCAAGUAUGAUUCCAGCCAGUGCAAAAAAAAGGUUCUCUGAAGAGACGUCAUUCACCACUGCAGAUUAGUAUGCAUCACGGUCAGCAUAGGAUGGCAGCAGAGGGAGACAAAGACCAGCUCUUCCAAGUAGCCAGUGCUUUCUCUGCUUCCAUUGACUAAUCCCCUUCUUGGAAUUGAACCCAUUGGAACUGGGCUACACUCUCCCGACCGACUUGACACUGAUCCUUCUCGACUUCCAUAUGAGUGCAGUGACAUCUUUGGUUUUAAUUUUACUGCAGAUGAAUUUGCACACUCCAAGUUCAGUUCUGAAAAAUAAAAGCAUUAAAUAAAA